GGUUUAAUUCGAUGCAACGCGAAGAACCUUACCACUUCUUGACAUGGAGAUUAGAUCCUUCUUAACAGAAGGGCGCAGUUCGGCUGGAUCUCGCACAGGUGCUGCAUGGCUGUCGUCAGCUCGUGUCGUGAGAUGUUGGGUUAAGUCCCGCAACGAGCGUAACCCUCAUCCUUAGUUGCCAGCGGGUUAAGCCGGGCACUUUAAGGAGACUGCCAGUGGUAAACUGGAGGAAGGUGGGGAUGAUGUCAAGUCAGCACGGCCCUUAUGGGGUGGGCUACACACGUGCUACAAUGGUGACUACAAUAGGUUGCAACGUCGCAAGGCUGAGC
rnacentral:rRNA from 1 species